rnacentral:rRNA from 1 species
GAGGGGCCUACGUCCGAUUAGCUAGUUGGUGGGGUAAAGGCCUACCAAGGCGACGAUCGGUAGCUGGUCUGAGAGGACGACCAGCCACACUGGGACUGAGACACGGCCCAGACUCCUACGGGAGGCAGCAGUGGGGAAUUUUUCGCAAUGGGGGCAACCCUGACGAAGCAAUGCCGCGUGGAUGAAGAAGGCCUUCGGGUUGUAAAGUCCUUUCGUGGGGGACGAAAAGGCGGAUCCGAAUACGGUCUGCUAUUGACGUGAACCCAAGAAGAAGCACCGGCUAACUCCGUGCCAGCAGC